GCUUGCUUCUCUUGAGAGCGGCGGACGGGUGAGUAAUGCCUAGGAAUCUGCCUGGUAGUGGGGGAUAACGUUCGGAAACGGACGCUAAUACCGCAUACGUCCUACGGGAGAAAGCAGGGGACCUUCGGGCCUUGCGCUAUCAGAUGAGCCUAGGUCGGAUUAGCUAGUUGGUGGGGUAAUGGCUCACCAAGGCGACGAUCCGUAACUGGUCUGAGAGGAUGAUCAGUCACACUGGAACUGAGACACGGUCCAGACUCCUACGGGAGGCAGCAGUGGGGAAUAUUGGACAAUGGGCGAAAGCCUGAUCCAGCCAUGCCGCGUGUGUGAAGAAGGUCUUCGGAUUGUAAAGCACUUUAAGUUGGGAGGAAGGGUUGUAGAUUAAUACUCUGCAAUUUUGACGUUACCGACAGAAUAAGCACCGGCUAACUCUGUGCCAGCAGCCGCGGUAAUACAGAGGGUGCAAGCGUUAAUCGGAAUUACUGGGCGUAAAGCGCGCGUAGGUGGUUUGUUAAGUUGGAUGUGAAAUCCCCGGGCUCAACCUGGGAACUGCAUUCAAAACUGACUGACUAGAGUAUGGUAGAGGGUGGUGGAAUUUCCUGUGUAGCGGUGAAAUGCGUAGAUAUAGGAAGGAACACCAGUGGCGAAGGCGACCACCUGGACUAAUACUGACACUGAGGUGCGAAAGCGUG
rnacentral:rRNA from 1 species